CCACGUCCACCAGCGACACCGUAGCUUCUACAGACUCUCAAGUGGCUCUUCAGUUAGGAAGUUUAAUUAAAUUAAUAGAGCAACAAAAGGCUGAAAUUCGUGGUGCUUUGCAAGAAUUACAAGAGCAACAAAAAGAGCUCCAAGAAAGAACGCUUUGGGCUAUAAAAGAUGUUAGUGACGCGGUGACUAAGCUUCGAAAAGAUAUCG
rnacentral:misc_RNA from 1 species